AAUGAACGUUGGCGGCGUGGAUUAGGCAUGCAAGUCGCGCGACAAGGAACCUUCGGGUUCUGGAGGAGCGGCAAACGGGGUAGUAAGGCAUCGGAACGUACCCUCUUGUUGGGAAUAGCCGCGGGAAACUGCGAGUAAUGCCCAAUAAUCCCUACGGGGCAAAGGUCCGCCGCAGGAGGAGCGGCCGAUGUGAUACCAGCUAGUUGGUGAGGUAAUGGCUCACCAAGGCUUAGACGUCUAGGGGGUGUGAGAGCAUGGCCCCCCACCACUGGACGUGAGAUACUGCCCACGANACCUACGGGUGGGCUGCAGUCGAG
rnacentral:rRNA from 1 species